GUUGAGGUUGCGGCUCAGUGGAGGACAUUGAGGAUGUUGGGGUUGAGGUUGGAUUGAGGAUGUUGGAGUUAGGUUGACAUGGUUGAGUUGGAGAUGUUGGGUUAGGUUGACAUGGUUGAGUUGGAGAUGUUGGGGUUGAGGUUGGGGUUGACUUGAAGAUGCUGAGGUUGGGGCUCAGUGGAGGACAUUGAGGAUGUUGGGGUUGAGGUUGAAUUGAGGAUAUUGGAGUGAGGUAGAGAUGGUUGAGUUGGAGAUGUUGGGGUUGAGGUUGGGGUUGGGUUGAGACAGUUGAGGAUGUUGAGGUUGGGGUUCAGUGGAGGACACUGAGACAUUGGGAUUGAGUUGAGGUUGACGGAGUUGAA